rnacentral:rRNA from 1 species
AAAAAAAAAAUGUAACAAGGUCUCCGUUGGUGAACCAGCGGAGGGAUCAUUACCGAGUUUACAACUCCCAAACCCCUGUGAACAUACCACUUGUUGCCUCGGCGGAUCAGCCCGCUCCCGGUAAAACGGGACGGCCCGCCAGAGGACCCCUAAACUCUGUUUCUAUAUGUAACUUCUGAGUAAAACCAUAAAUAAAUCAAAACUUUCAACAACGGAUCUCUUGGUUCUGGCAUCGAUGAAGAACGCAGCAAAAUGCGAUAAGUAAUGUGAAUUGCAGAAUUCAGUGAAUCAUCGAAUCUUUGAACGCACAUUGCGCCCGCCAGUAUUCUGGCGGGCAUGCCUGUUCGAGCGUCAUUUCAACCCUCAAGCACAGCUUGGUGUUGGGACUCGCGUUAAUUCGCGUUCCCCAAAUUGAUUGGCGGUCACGUCGAGCUUCCAUAGCGUAGUAGUAAAACCCUCGUUACUGGUAAUCGUCGCGGCCACGCCGUUAAACCCCAACUUCUGAAUGUGACCUCGGAU